GAAGAAGCGGAAAGCCGGAGCACAUUUUAUGGUUAAUAAAAAGAAGAAGAAGAAGAAAAGAGGCGUUUUAUUUGGGGGGCCUCUUUUUACGCCACUUUUCGUAUUUUUAAAGGAGGCUCCGCUGCUACAAUGGUUUGUCACAUCACACAUUGGACAAUGAGACACAGCAGCAGUGACCAAAGCACAAUGAGGGCUGUACUGCAUGCGUCAUUGCUGACAUAUGGGACCGCAAAUGAGAAGCUGAUUUGUAGUUUUAAAUGUGUUAAACACGUCUGCGUCAAACUCCACAGGAGAUAUCCCAUGGAAAUAAUGUUUGUAAACGUAUUAAGUGAUGCCAGCUUUUUUGUUUUGCAGUGCUUUUCCUGCUUAGACGUAAAAUCACUGUUAAUUCACGACAGCGGGCAGAAUGAAAUUUUCGUUACGAGUUAAUGUGCGUCUGUGCUGUAGUGCUGGCUUUUCAGACGUAAGAGUGGAUGUCUGCAUGCCUGGAUUCGAGACACUGCCAUUAUGUGCAAACGUGCAGUGAAGAAAACGUGCAAAGUUUCCCACAGCAUCCUGAGAUUUAUAUGAUUACUUUGUUGAGAUUUUGCAUAUACACUGUUAUGCAAAUGUCACUAAAUACUUGAAAGCUACACGCACGUGUUCUGCACCUACGUUUGUGUAUCAGGCAGAAAGUCUUCAGAUAAGCACAACAAGAAUUACAUAGAAACUAUACAAUUUUACAGUUUGCAGAGAAACUCACUUAGCAUGGAGUAAGUUAAAAUAAAAAUAAGAGAAGUGAACUUUUCCAAAAAAUAUGUCAAUAAAUAGAUACACUCCCUUGUAAAGGGUGCCCUAAUAAAUGCAUUCAAAUACGAGUUACCUUGAACAUAUAACAUUUAACUCAGGUGUAGAUUUUCUCCAUGAUAACAGACUUCUGUUUCCCUUAAUGUAACAACAGGUAAGAUAAGACACACAUAGCAUGUGAACAAACUGUAUCCAGUUAUUACUGAGGUGUGUGCGUGUGUGUGUUUUGCUAUACAAUCCUGUUUUCUUCUUCAAGAUUCUUUGCUUUGCUAUGUAAUUCAUUUCUUUUAAAAUUAAUAUUACAUUUCAGCUCAGUCUCUUUCUUUCUUGUUUUCUCUUUCAGGUGUUUAAAAAGUCAAUGAUAUGUAAAACUUAAACAGAUUUCCCAACUGUGAUUUCAUUUUCUCCUUUCCCCUUAAUAUACACCGAAUUUCAAUUUUGUGGUACGUCAUUAACUGUGUGUAUUAUUAUCAUUAUUAUUGUCUUUAAAUAAAGUUAUUUCAAGUCUCUAUGCAACAACAUGGAUGAUUAAUAAAAGC
ensembl:lncRNA